GAUCAAAGCGGCGUCGUUCCCCACGUCAAUCAUAAGGAAAUGGAAGAGGUCAUCAACAGUUUCACUUUUAGCUCAAAUGGACGUAAACACAAAGAAUCCAAAUACAUGGAUGAUUGGAUUUUGAUGGCAUCUGGUGUGUAGGACAGUCUUGGAGGCAUUGCCACAAGAAAGAAAUAAAAAGAAAUAAGUUUACUGAAGGAGGAUUUUUGAAGCUGGGAGGAAACCCCAAGGCUGACCCAGAACUUGUUGUGAAUGUUGCAUCCCUUCUGGCCCGGGAACAUCCUGGGAUCCUCCAGGAGGAACUGAAGACUGUCACUGGGGGACAAGGAUGUCUGGGUCUCACCUCCCGAAAUUUUACUUCUGCAUUUCCUUCAGAGCCGCGCGGAGAUAAAUGAGCCAGAUGUCUUCAAAGAGACGACGUGCUUCAUCUACAGAAGCAAGACGCCCAACCUGGACAAGAUGGCCGAUGACCUGCUGGCUGCAGCUGACCAGGUGGGCAGUGUGUGUACUUACACCUGUUGCACUCCAGACAUCCUGCACUGAUCAGCCAUGAUGUUGAACUUCUUGUCUGGUAUUGAAAGCAGAUUUUCAGACUUUUAAAUCA